rnacentral:rRNA from 1 species
UACGGAGGGUGCGAGCGUUGUCCGGAAUCACUGGGCGUAAAGGGCGCGUAGGUGGCCUGUGGAAGUCUGCGGUGAAAGCCCGGCGCUCAAUGCCGGGUCGGCCGUGGAUACUCUCGGGCUCGAGCUUACUAGAGGCAGAUGGAAUUCCGGGUGUAGCGGUGGAAUGCGUAGAGAUCCGGAAGAACACCGGUGGCGAAGGCGGUCUGCUGGGGUAAUGCUGACACUGAUGCGCGACAGCGUGGGGAGCAAACAGG